rnacentral:rRNA from 1 species
UUUAACUGAGCGUUCAGUUACUUGACGUAGACCCGAAACCGGGCGACCUACCCAUGAGCAGGAUGAAGCGAAAGUAAAAUUUCGUGGAGGUCCGAACCCACGAGCGUUGAAAAGCUCGGGGAUGACUUGUGGGUAGCGGUGAAAUUCCAAUCGAGCCCGGAGAUAGCUGGUUCUCCCCGAAAUAGCUUUAGGGCUAGCCUCAAGGUGAGAGAUACGGAGGUAGAGCACUGAAUGUCCUAGGGGGUAUUGCACCUACCGAAGACUAUCAAACUCCGAAUGCCGUCAUCUUAUACUUGGGAGUCAGACUGUGGGUGAUAAGAUUCAUAGUCGAAAGGGCAACAGCCCAGAUCGUCAGCUAAGGUCCCUAAAUGUAAGUUAAGUGGUAAAGGAUGUGGGAUUGCACAGACAACCAGGAUGUUGGCUUAGAAGCAGCCACUCAUUCAAAGAGUGCGUAAUAGCUCACUGGUCGAGUGAUCCUGCGCCGAAGAUUUCCGGGGCUAAAACUUACUACCGAAGCUACGGCAUCAGUAAUGAUGGGUAGGGGAGCUUCCCAUACGGGUUGAAGCAUGACCGUAAGGACAUGUGGACAGUAUGGGAGUGAGAAUGUUGGCAUGAGUAGCGAGAUGUGGGUGAGAAUCCCACAGGCCGUAAACCCAAGGUUUCCAGGGGAAGGUUCGUCCGCCCUGGGUUAGUCGGGACCUAAGCUGAGGCCGAAAGGCGUAGGUGAUGGACAACAGGUUGAUAUUCCUGUACUACCGAUAACCGUUUGAGAGAUGGGAUGACACAGUAGGAUAAGCUAAGCACACUGUUGGUUAUGUGUGCCCAAGCAUUGAGGCAGU